CCUACGGGAGGCAGCAGUGGGGAAUAUUGGACAAUGGGGGGAACCCUGAUCCAGCGACGCCGCGUGAGUGAAGAAGUCUUUCGGUAUGUAAAGCUCUAUCAGCAGGGAAGAAAGACAUGACGGUACCUGACUAAGAAGCCCCGGCUAACUACGUACCAGCAGCCGCGGUACUACGUAGGGGGCAAGGGUUAUCCGGAUUUACUGGGUGUAAAGGGAGGGGAGACGGCGAUGCAAGUCUGAAGUGAACGGCGGGUGCCCAAACCCCGGACUGCUUUGGAAACUGUAAGGCUGGAGUGCAGGACAGGUAAGUGGAAUUCCUAGUGUAGCGGUGAAAUGCGUAGAUAUUAGGAGGAACACCAGUGGCGAAGGCGGCUUACUGGACUGUAACUGACGUUGAGGCUCGAAAGCGUGGGGAGCAAACAGGAUUAGAUACCCUUGUAGUC
rnacentral:rRNA from 1 species